AACGAACGCUGGCGGCAUGCCUAACACAUGCAAGUCGAACGGGAUCCGGACUUCGGUCCGGUGAGAGUGGCGGACGGGUGAGUAACACGUGGGAACCUGCCUUUUGGUUCGGGAUAACCGCGGGAAACUGCGGCUAAUACCGGAUGCUCCCGAGAGGGAAAAGAUUUAUCGCCAGAAGAGGGGCCCGCGUCCGAUUAGGUAGUUGGUGGGGUAAUGGCCUACCAAGCCGACGAUCAGUAGCUGGUCUGAGAGGAUGAUCAGCCACACUGGGACUGAGAUACGGCCCAGACUCCUACGGGAGGCAGCAGUGGGGAAUAUUGGACAAUGGGGGCAACCCUGAUCCAGCAAUGCCGCGUGAGUGAUGAAGGCCUUAGGGUUGUAAAGCUCUUUUGUCAGGGACGAUGAUGACGGUACCUGACGAAUAAGCUCCGGCUAACUUCGUGCCAGCAGCCGCGGUAAU
rnacentral:rRNA from 1 species